UGAUGUUUGACGUGACUUCUAGAAAAUAAAAAAUGAAUUGCAACGAUAGUUGUGCUUAAUUUUUAGAAUCACAAUGAUAAUAAAGAAAGAGUAGGCGGCGGACGGGCCAUAAAGGAGCAUAGUGGCAUUGUUUGACGAGACUUCUAAAAAUUAUAAAAAAUAAAACCCAACAAGACAAUAAACUCUAAAAACUACAAGGUUCAAUUUUUAAAGGUUCCGAACUUCGAAAAGGUAAAAAAAAACAAUGAUAAUCAUGUUCGAUUUUAAAAUCUCAAUGACAAUAAAGAAGGGACUCAGCGGGCGAGCCGUAGAGAAGUACAAUGGAAAAGCCGCUGAUGGUUUGGCGGGAUUUCUAGAAAGUAAAAAUGAACCGAAACGAUAAUUAUGUUCGAUUUUUAAAAUCUCAAUGACAAUAAAGAAAAGAGACAGUAGACGGGCCAUAGAGGAGUAUAAUGGCAACGUUUGACGGGACGUCUAGAAAUUAUAAAAACGAAACCCAACAUGACAAUAAACUCUAAAAACUAUAAGAUCUAAUUUUUAAAGGUUUCAAGGAGAAUGAAUAGAAAUAGUGGUAUAUCGAGCAAGCAAAUAAAGAAGGAGAUGUCAUAAGGGGUAGCAACUGGUGUGACUUUUAAAAAAUAUAUAUAAUUAGAAACACGGGGAUGAUAAGGUUUAAUCUUUCAAACUCUUAAGACAUGAGAUAGCUAUUUAAUAAAUUUUAAGUAAAAUCAUACUAAAAAAUUAUAUGAUUUUAUUUAGGUGCUAGCCGCGCAAUUGCGCGGGCUACCCAGCUAGUUUCAUAAUAACACACCAAAUGUAGGAAUUAAGAUGCAGCACUUUGAUACUAUUGAAUACUGUCUCUACCAGAGCCUCGUACAGGUGGUUAAUAGUAGCAACUAAAGCAGUCCACGAGUUUUCUAAAACAAAAUUGUGAUGCAGGCAUGCAGCUGCUCUCCAUUCUCAACUAUUAUUAUCAGGAAAGUGCUUCCAAAAUAUCAAAAUAUUACCGUCUUAGUCAAUGUGUAAACACUUGUGUACAAAUACAACACCACGUGACAGUGUAACUAACCAUCAUAAGUAGAACAUAUAGUUCUUAUACACUGAAAAAUAAUAUAAAUCGUUGUUGCAGUUGCAGUAUAUUAUCUUUUAGACAUAUAUUUAUUGGUUAACAUUUGUGCUACAAUUCAUGCAACGAUAGAAGAAAACAAGCUUUACUCACCUGGCAAUUACAACAGGUAUUCCUUUUGAUGAAGCAGUAAAAGCAGCUGCUACUUUAGCUUGCAUUCCACCUCUUCCCACACGAGAUUUCUCCCCAAAGCUAAUUAACUUCCCAUGUUGUUCAUGGACGUAUGUGUGGAUAAUCUUCGAUUGUGGAUCGCUAGGUGGACCGCUAUAGAGCCCCUCCACAUCACUGAGCAUGAUAAGGAGAUCAGCUUUAAGUUCUUGCGCUAACAGUCUGGCCAAACUAUCGUUAUCCCAGAAUAUGCCAGAUGAAUCCUACACACGGUUGAUCAUUACAAUCAGUAAAGUGUAAAAGGUUAGUGUUUGUUGUUAAUGGAAUUUGGAAUACGUAUAUAUCAGUGAAGCUCCCAGUGCACACAAAUCACAUUAGGAAACACACCUCGUAUGGUUGCCUCCUGGUACUGAUGGCGUCAUUCUCAUUAAAUACUGGUAUAACCUUGAGAUCUAACAGAGAAUUAACAGUCUCGCGGAGCUGGUUCCCAAAACUUGGAUCCAUAAAAUCACGAUCCGUAACAAGAAGCUGAGAUGAUGUUACGUCAAGCUGCAGCGAAGGAAGUUUAACGUGUCAAAAUAUAUGCAAAAAAAUCAUAUUUUUUACACAAAAAUCCAUCAGGAAUGGCACGCCAACCUGGCUAAAUAACGUGUCAUAGAUCGCCAUCAGCACACUCUGACCGACGGCAGCGCAGGCCUUCCCGUCCAUGUCCAUCUGUGGGUUCUGCAGAUCAGCGAAACUGCAAGCAAGAGAGAGAUCAGAAAUGAAUGCUACAGCAGAACACUGUUUACUGUUCAGAGCCAAUUAACUCUCUGCAACCUGCUAUUGACGAGCUUCCGGUACUUGAGCCUCUGCCUCCCAACACCAACAGCACCAGAGGUGACCAGAAUCACCUCGUACCCCUCAAAAUUUAGCUGCUUCACCUGGGAAAUUUAUCACACCGGUUAACUGACACUGAUUAGCACAAGCUCGGUUGGUCAGAGCAUUAACCUCUGGUAAAAAAAUUUGGGGGGAAAGUUUACCUGUUCACACAGAGCACCGAGCCUGCCCAUAGCCAACCGGCCAUUCGGCCCAGUCACAACAGCGGUGCCGACCUGUCGAAUUAAGCCAGCCAACAGAACAUAUAUUUAGAGGGAAAAAAAAUAAUAUCCUUCAUUAGAGAAUGGUACUAAUUAAUGAGUGGUAAAUAGUUAAACCUAAAAACAUAUUUAUGGUAAAUAGUUAAACCUAAAAAACGUAUGAAUGGUAAAGAGUUAAACAUAAAAAUAUAGCCAUAGUGAUUUUAAAUU
rnacentral:sRNA from 1 species